UGCGUAGGCGGAAUAUUAAGUCAGUGGUGAAAUCCUGCGGCUCAACCGUAGAACUGCCAUUGAUACUGAUAUUCUUGAAUGUAGUUGAGGUAGGCGGAAUGUGUAAUGUAGCGGUGAAAUGCUUAGAUAUUACACAGAACACCGAUUGCGAAGGCAGCUUACUAAACUUUGAUUGACGCUGAGGCACGAAAGCGUGGGGAGCGAACAGGAUUAGAUACCCUGGUAGUCC
rnacentral:rRNA from 1 species